GAUGAAACGCUGGCGGCGUGCUUUAACACAUGCAAAGUCGAAACGAAGCACUUUCACUUGAUUCUUCGGAUGAAGGCGAUGGUGACUUAGUGGCGGACGGGUGAGUAACGCGUGGGUAACCUGCCCUGUACAGGGGACAACAGCUGGAAACGGCUGCUAAUACCGCAUAAGCGCACAGCACCGCAUGGUGCAGUGUGGAAAAACUCCGGUGGUACAGGAUGGGCCCGCGUUGGAUUAGGUAGUUGGUGGGGCAAAGGCCUACCAAGCCGACGAUCCAUAGCCGACCUGAGAGGGUGGCCGGCCACAUUGGGACUGAGACACGGCCCAAACUCCUACGGGAGGCAGCAGUGGGGAAUAUUGCACAAAUGGGCGGAAGCCUGAUGCAGCGAACGCCGCGUGAGCGAAGAAGUAUUUCGGUAUGUAAAGACUCUAUCAGCAGGGAAG
rnacentral:rRNA from 1 species